CGAUAUACUAGGAUAUGAUCUGAUAUUGUGGAAGUUUGAAGACCAUCUUUUGGCAAAAAUCAAUAGAACAGCCACUCAGUUUUCAUUAUAUGAUAAUGCUGGAGGAAGAUUCAACGGCAGACUGCAGCUGCAUCAUCAGACUGGGUCUCUCAUCAUCAGUGACACCAGAACCACAGACUCUGGAGUUUAUCAACUAAACAUGAACAGUAACUCACACUUUUUACAGAGGACAUACAGUGUUACUGUCAAGGGUCUGUCUUCAAUUGUUAUAGCAGUAAUAGCUGUCAGUCUUGCACUGGUGGUUGCCGUUGCCCUUGUGAUUUACUGUUGGUGCAGGUCAAGACAAAGGCGUGACAGAGUUGUGUAAUCUGGAGGCUCAGUGUGGUUUCAGUGAAGGUCAAUGAAAUCAACCUCAGGAUCAGCAUGAAUCCAUCCAUAACAGUACAUACAUAACCACAGUAACAAUAUAAACAUAGCUGUAUUAAUGAACAUGAGCUGUAUUUGCUAUAAACAGAUAAGCAAGGUUUGGUUGAUGUAUUAGUUUACAUUACACAUUGUAUUCUUAAUCUGUAU